AGGACGAGGAAGAGGAAGAGGAAGAGAGGGACGAUGAAGAAGCCGAAGAGGAGCAAGAUGACAGUGAUGGCUACAACGACGAUGAAUACGACGAUGGGGGCAGCUACAACGGUGAGGACGAUGACGGCGACUAGGACGACAAUGCGUAGGAGGUUCUGUAUUCAUCUCGCGGGCAUCCACAAGUUCAUUCCGUGGACAACGAUGAAGAGAAGGAGGAAGGCGAGAGGAGAAGGCGAAUCGAUGGCAACAACAAGAAAGAGGACGAGAUCGAUGAUGAAGAAGCCAAAGAAGACGUAAGAGAUGGAACAGAAUGAUGCACUUGGCUUAUUUUUUUUCUUUCGAAACACGUGGAGAGAUGACUGUGACUCCUUCCGGUCUCGAGAGUUGAUCGGCGAAACCACGUCAGUUUCUUGUCUCUUUCAUUUCUUAUCAGCUUUUGUUCUUUUCCUUUUCGAUUGUUCAGAUGUUAUUCACUCCUCUCCUCUCUUUUCCCUCCGUAAAAUGACAAUGGUAUGCAAGUGCUCUAUUUAUGUCCCACGAAUUUGUUUGGAUUUUAUUUGUUAAUCAGUUCCGAUUUAGUGUAUGCAUCUCAUUAUGUCGAGAGGUGCCCUGUAGAAACAUGAUUUAUGAAUCUCUCUUUGCCGA